rnacentral:tRNA from 3 species
GCGAGGGUGGCGGAAUUGGUAGACGCGCUGGUUUUAGGUACCAGUAUCCAUGAUGUGGGGGUUCGAGUCCCCCCCCUCGUACCA